GAGUAGUAAGAGGUAAGAUCUUUAAACUCAAAAAAUUUGGCGGUAUUUUAUCUUAUUAGAGGAACCUGCUUAUUAAUUGAUAUUCCACGACUUUAACUUACUUUUAUUAAAUUAUUUGUAUACCGUUGUCAUGAAUCUACUGAGAAGUGAUUUUCAAGAAUUUUUGUAUAAUUUAUGUUAGAUCAAGGUGCAGUUUUUAAAAGAUUAAAGUGGGUUACAUUUUUUAUGAUGAAUGAAAAUUAUUGUUAAAUAUAAUAAUAGAAACGGGAUUUAAAAGUAAAAAGAAUUAUUAAAGAUUUUAUAUGAAUAUAGAUUCUAAAGUAUG
rnacentral:rRNA from 1 species